rnacentral:rRNA from 1 species
GACGUAAGGGGCGAGCGUUGUCCGGAUUUAUUGGGCGUAAAGCGUGCGUAGGCGGCUGCGCAAGUCGGUUGUGAAACCCCGGGGCUCAACCCCGGAACUGCAUCCGAUACUGCGUGGCUAGAGGUAGGUAGGGGAGAUCGGAAUUCCUGGUGUAGCGGUGAAAUGCGCAGAUAUCAGGAGGAACACCGGUGGCGAAGGCGGAUCUCUGGGCCUUACCUGACGCUCAGGCACGAAAGCUAGGGGAGCGAACAGG